AUUGAACGCUGGCGGCAGGCCUAACACAUGCAAGUCGAACGAGUGGCGGACGGGUGAGUAAUGUCUGGGAAACUGCCUGAUGGAGGGGGAUAACUAUUGGAAACGGUAGCUAAUACCGCAUACCAUCAGAUGUGCCCAGAUGGGAUUAGCUUGUUGGUGGGGUAACGUCUCACCAAGUCGACGAUCCCUAGCUGGUCUGAGAGGAUGACCAGUCACACUGGAACUGAGACACGGUCCAGACUCCUACGUUAGGCAGCAGUGGCGAAUAUUGCACAAUGGGAGCAAGCCUGAUGCAGUCAUGCCGCGUGUAUGAAGAAGGCCUUCAGGUUGUAAAGUACUUUCAGCGAGGAGGCGUUACCCGCAGAAGAAGCCCCGGCUAACUCCGUGCCAGCAGCCGCGGUAAUAC
rnacentral:rRNA from 1 species